AUCGAGGAUUUGAUCCUGGUCCAGGAUGAACGCUGGCGGCAUGGAUAAGGCAUGCAAGUCGAACGCUUUGUUUUUAACAAAGAGUGGCAAACGGGUUAGUAACACCUUGGUUACCUACCCUGAAGACGGGAAUAGCUCCGGGAAACCGGAAGUAAUGCCCGAUAGUCUCGCAAGAGUAAAUCUCGCAAGAGGCUUCAGGAUGGACCUAGGCCCGAUCAGCUUGUUGGUGAGGUAGAAGCUCACCAAGGCUAUGACCGGUAGGGGGGCUGAGAGGCUGAUCCCCAACACUGGGACUGAGACACUGCCCAGACACCUACGGGUGGCUGCAGUCGAGAAUAUUCCACAAUGCACGAAAGUGUGAUGGAGCAAUGCCGCGUGCAGGAUGAAGGCCUCCGGGUCGUAAACUGCUUUUCUACAGGAAGAAGCUAAUUUAUUAGUUGACGGUACUGUAGGAAUAAGGAGCUGCAAACCUCGUGCCAGCAGCAGCGGUAAUACGAGGGCUCCAAGCGUUAUCCGGAAUCAUUGGGCGUAAAGCGCACGUAGGUGGUUCGAUGCGUCUUCUGUAAAAUCCCAACUGCUUAACAGUGGGUCUGCAGAAGAUACGAUCGAACUAGAGGGUGUGAGAGGUUACUGGAACUCACGGUGUAGGGGUGAAAUCCGUUGAUAUCGUGGGGAACACCAAAGGCGAAGGCAUGUAACUGGCACACUCCUGACACUCAGGUGCGAAAGCGUGGGUAGCGAAUGGGAUUAGAUACCCCAGUAGUCCACGCCGUAAACGAUGUUCACUAACUGUUGGAAGUAUCGACCCUUCCAGUGGUGUAGCUAACGCGUUAAGUGAACCGCCUGGGAAGUACGGCCGCAAGGCUAAAACUCAAAGGAAUAGACGGGGACUCGCACAAGCGGUGGAGCGUGAGGUUUAAUUCGACGAUCAGCGAAGAACCUUACCCAGACUUGACACUCUAGUGAAAGACUUAAGAAAUUAAGUCCCCUCUUCGGAGCACUAGGACAGGUGCUGCAUGGUUGUCGUCAGCUCGUGCUUUGAAGUGUUCCCUUAAGUGGGGUAACGAGCGCAACCCAUACUGUGUGUUACAAGUGUCACACAGGACCGCCCCCCACUUUUUGCCGGAGUGAAAACUCGGGCCAAGAGUGGGGGGAGGAAGGAAUGGAUGACGCCAAAUCAGCAUGGCCCUUUGAUGUCUGGGGCAACACUCGCGCUACAAUGGCUGGUACAACGGGUUGCCAAACCGUGAGGUGGAGCUAAUCCCUUAAAACCAGUCUCAGUUCGGAUCGGAGUCUGCAACUCGACUCCGUGAAGUCGGAAUCGCUAGUAAUCGCGGAUCAGCACGCCGCGGUGAAUACGUUCUCGAGUCUUGUACUCACCGCCCGUCAAUGCAAGGGAGCUGGGAAUACCCGAAGGAUCGUUUCGACGGUACUAAGGUAAGCUCAGUGACAUGGCAUAAGUCGUAACAAGGCACGCGUAGCGGAAGCUGUGCGUGGAUCA
rnacentral:rRNA from 1 species